GUCGAACUGUUUGGCACCUGAAUUAAGAGAAAAGGAAGAGAGAUGGAGAUGACGAUGCCAUGGAUGUUUCAGAAAAUGGCCAUGGCAAUUCUUCAUUCAGCAAGAAGCCGAAGGAAGGUGAUGUUCAUGUCUCUUCCAGUUCAACUGAAGUGGCAGGAACCAUUCUAGAGAUGAAUGGAGGCGAUCAUCAUAUACCUGGAAGCUCCUUUUCAUGUCUA